CCUACGGGAGGCAGCAGUAAGGAAUAUUGGUCAAUGGACGAAAGUCUGAACCAGCCAUGCCGCGUGAAGGAUUAAGGCCCUCUGGGUUGUAAACUUCUUUUAUCUGGGACGAAAAAAGGGUAUUCUUACUCACUUGACGGUACCAGAGGAAUAAGCACCGGCUAACUCCGUGCCAGCAGCCGCGGUAAUACGGAGGGUGCAAGCGUUAUCCGGAUUUACUGGGUUUAAAGGGUGCGUAGGUGGAUUUGUAAGUCAGUGGUGAAAUCUCCGAGCUUAACUCGGAAACUGCCAUUGAUACUAUAAGUCUUGAAUUAUCUGGAGGUAAGCGGAAUAUGUCAUGUAGCGGUGAAAUGCUUAGAUAUGACAUAGAACACCAAUUGCGAAGGCAGCUUACUACGGAUAUAUUGACACUGAGGCACGAAAGCGUGGGGAUCAAACAGGAUUAGAUACCCUGGUAGUCCACGCCCUAAACGAUGGAUACUCGACAUUAGCGAUACACUGUUAGUGUCUGAGCGAAAGCAUUAAGUAUCCCACCUGGGAAGUACGAUCGCAAGAUUGAAACUCAAAGGAAUUGACGG
rnacentral:rRNA from 1 species